rnacentral:rRNA from 1 species
UACAGAAGGGACAAGUGUUAUUCGACAUAACUGGGUGUAAAACGCAUGAAGGCUGUUAAAAAAGUUAAUAGUGAAAUCCUAUUUUAAACAAAUAGAAGAGCUAUUAAAACUAUUUAGCUAGAAUAUGGAAGAGGAAAACGGAAUUACUUAGGGAGGGUUGAAAUACAUAGAUCUAAGUAGGAACACCAGAGGCGAUAGCGGUUUUCUAGUACAAUAUUGACGCUUAAGUGCUAAAGCGUGGGGAGCAAACAGG